AGCCGGCCUUGUUUGGUUCAAUCAUAUAUACAUAAUAUUUAUGUGAUCCAUAGUAUGAUUUAUACUAUAAAAUGAUUUAUGCUUUCAUAUGAUGAUAUGAAAUAAUACAUAUAUCAUUCACCACUUCAUCAUCUUGACAUAAGGUUGUCCUAGCAUAACGGGGUUAUGCUGCAAGGUUGUCCUAGGAUGAUGAAUGUCCAUAUGUUACACUUGCACAUGUAGAAAAUUGUAAUGUUGAUACAUAAAUGGGUAUUAUGUAGUUAGAAUGUGCAUGAGACCAAAUAAAAGCCC
rnacentral:lncRNA from 1 species